AAAGUUUUAAUACAUGAUAGUGGUAACAUUUGGGUUGGCUAUAGUAAUGGUAGGCCACAGUAUUUAUUUCAAUCUUCAAUUUUGACUGGAAUUGUGUUUGUCAUUGUUAGUAAGUCCAUAAUUUAUUCCAGUUCAAAAUAAUUUAGCAAAAUACUUUACUCAUCAUAUUGUGCUGCUUUCCCCUUUUAUUGUAAUAAUUGCUGAACAAGUUCCUGAACACCUUGUGAACAUCGAACUUUGGGAAAUUGUUCGAAAGAGUUAUCCACAACGAUGCAAGAGAAUGGAGCAGAGAGACUGUGAGACUUGUGGAGAAGAGAUUUUCAGCUCACCUGAUCAGGUAUCCAAAUCUGGAGAGAUCUGACUGGAGUAUGGAAAACAAGUAAAGUUACCAAUGAAUGAAGAGAAAGAGGAGGGGAGGAGGAAAGUCCUCCACAACAGAAAAGAGGAAUUUGGAACACUCAAGCACUUUCAAGAUCCUUUCUUUGGGUUGCUGUCAGACUCGGAGAAUGAAGAACCUUUUGGGAAGAGAACCAGAAAUGUGUCUGCAUUUGUUAGAAGAACAAAGACCUCGGCAGACUUCACAAGAGAUGGUCUACAGACGAAUGUGGUGCAGAGAAGCCAGAGCUGUACUGAUACAGAGGAGGGAAGGUGAAAAAUGAGGGCGUCUACUCAUCUUCCUGGACUGGACAAGGUAUAAAGCUGGGCUUUUUAAAGGCAAGUAUUGCUCUCAGCUACAAUGCAGGAAUCCUUCUGUCCUCUGAGAACAGCCAAUUUCUUUCGGCACACAUAAUUAUCCAAGACAAGAGGCAUAGCUGGCGAGGCGUCAUCAUGGCUUCAUCAACACCUUUUAUAGUCCCCCAGUCGAAACAGGAGAGGUCCAUUAGCCCUGAGAGCAAUGACAGUAUCUCUGAGGAGCUGAAUCACUUCAAGCCAAUAGUGUGUUCGCCGUGCACCCCACCAAAGCGGCUACCUGACGGGCGAGUGAUGGAACCCACAAUUGUGAAGUCCACCCCACGGAACUUAUUCCGCAGCCUGGAGAGGCCCACCAGCAUAUCCUCCAGGAAUGGAAGCAGAUAGAGGUGGACCGUCAGUCUGUCAGUGACCUCAAAGGGCACCUUGACCAGCCCCAUAAACGUGGACCUUGUUUUCAAACCAAGCCCCAUAGAGAAGGAUGGCAAGCCCUGCAGCUGCGCUCUAGCAGCAAAUAAGGGAAAAGAACACUUGGGUAGGUGUGCCAAGACUGAUUCCUCUGGGCAAGAGAAUGAAAUAACUUGUAUACAUAAUAAACAAAGAGUGAUAUUUUACCAGGCCAUUGGAGAGACGGCCCUCCAUCAAAAACAAUUCAAAGUUUCAUACUCCAUUUGUACCUUUAAACAGUGAGGAGACUGUAACUGAGUGUGGGGUUUCUUCAGAGUCUGUGGUGAUACCUGUAUCACAUUGUGGACCAACUUCAAUUAAUCAAAAUCCAACCUUAGUCCCACACAAUAUAAAUGACAGUGUUAGGGGUUGCAAUCUUAAAUCAAAGGACUCACAGGAUCAGAGAAAAUAUUUGGACAAUAGAAACGGUGCCCGGAACAAACCUACCUCAAGGAGGGGUAAGAAGAGGAGCCAGAAGACAAAACACCUGGAAGAGACCGAGUCUGGACUCAAAAGGCCCAGAGCCAAUAUGGUUUCAAUAUAGAUUGUGCACAGGCUGACCUGUACAUUCAACAGGUACAGCAAGUGAGUGAGGAUAGAGAGCUAGCGUUGAAUCUUCAAAGACAGUUUGACAGGGAACAGCAACAAGUAGACAAGCAAAAGACCAGUUUUGACAAGUACUUUCUCCGGUCCUGCAGUGAAAACAGAAUCGAAUGCAAUCCACGUAGAUCAGGAAGAAUUUCCAAAAGGAAUGAGCACUUUUAUUGCAAUUAUUAAAUGGUUAUUCUUGUGCUUUUUUAAAUUAUUAAAACCUGCCAACUUCUUGCAUACAAGAACUAUACUGUUUUUGCUGACCAUGUUCCAAAUUCAGUGCUUUUAAAGAUUAACUUAGAUUUAGUUUCUAUGAACAUGAUUUUGCUGAACAUGAUUAUUUUCUUCUCGUUUGCAGUUACUUGUGACAGAAUGUAAAAACACUACAUCAUAUAUUUCUGCAGUUAAUGCACUGAGAAAAAACUAAAGGUUUCACGGCAUGAAUCAUACAUGACCCUGAACACAAAGAUGUUGUGUUGAUUCAUACUGUGCAGACACUUGAAAAUCUUUGUGUUCAGGGUCAUGUAUGAUUCUGAUUCUAGCUCAGCCAAGGAUGUGGACACAAGAUCUAGCACUAUUACUUUGUCAGACCCUUCAUUCAGAUUCCCAUUAACCCAGAACAGUACAAUCCUAUUGAUUAUUUCAUGAUCCACAUGUUCCUUUCUGCACCAACGAUACUUUGCACUUAGCACCUCUGUGAUGUUUUGGGAAACACUUGUACCAUCUUAGUGCAUUAGGAAUGAUGCAUUGUUAAAACACUGGUAAAAUGUAAGUUCCAUUACAGUGAAACCUUGCCCAUCCUUUGGCUCAGCUAAAAUAUUUUUCACACAGGCGGUGUCCAUUGGCACCUCAAUCGCUCUAAAUCUCAUUGCCUUUUGUAGCAGAAUUUAUUUGACAUAAUUUGGUAUUAUUUUUUAGUUGAAGGUAUAUUCAGCAAUGUGGUUUUUACCAUGAACAGCUGGGUGUCUUGCGACACAGAGUUGCACAGAUUAUCACAUUUAAGUCAUAUUGAUUUGUGUCUGUCAAUGUUAGUAUUUGCCAAAGUAGUGGUUAACAUUACAGAAACCCCAUCAAUAAGAUUUAACGAUCUGACAAUCUGGACAGAAAAACUGCAAUGGAGGCAGCCUGAAACGUGUGGGUGUUGAGGUAUACAGCUGCUCACACUCUUCCGUUGCACUGCAGCUCCUGGUCAUGUCAGAUUGUUGAGUUAAAGGAUCAGUGUGGACAGGUUAAAUAUAUGCAAUGUGUAAACUCUGCUGAAAACUAUUACAGUAAUAUUGGAAAGGGGUACAAUGUUUUUUGGAGGAUGAUUUUCUGAUCAAAUUCAAUACCGGUCUGUUUUCUGUAUGCCCACACUUCUACCUCAACCCUCACUGUUGCGAUUUUGCAUUUCUCUCAAAUGAUUUAUGCCCUCUUAUUGACUACUACAAACUAAAAUGGCUCUAUGCAUGUGCAUGGUACAACUUUACAAAGCUGUAGCACUGCCAAAGCUCAUACUUUUGAUAAUUAGGAUAACUGUUUUAUGCAAUAUUUCUAUUGGAGAAUCCACAUUAAUAUAUUUCAUCAGCAUUGUUAUUUUUCUAAUCUUUGAGUUGUACUUACUAUAUUGUUUGAGACACUUAUUCAAAGGGCUAUUAUAUUUGAUCUGAGAAAUGUCUUUCCAUAUUUUAUUUGAUUCUUGUUUUUCUGAAGAUAUAUUUUUUUCCAAUGGCAUAUGCCAAAAUAUUAGCUUUAAUGUCCAUUACUACUUAAACGUUUAAGUAGUAAAAGAUAUUGCAAUAUUAAUAUGCACAUUAUGUACACAUACUUUUAUACUUUUUUUGUACAUACAGUUUAAAUAAUCAGAUGCAUAUUUUAGUAUUGGAGGGGAAGUUGGUGCCAAAUGGAAAUAGGUUAGUGCCAAAUGGUUGAUUUCUGUCGACUGUCAUACAUCUGCAGUUUUUUGUUUACUUUCCUGAUUUAAAGAUUAGGUUAUUGAUUCUUUAUAGUAAUCAGAAUGUACCACUUGUAUAGCCUACAUGAUUCACUGACAGCGCUGUACUUUGAAGGAAACAACUUGUUCGGAUCAUGUCCAUUCACAUUCUGAAGUAACUGUGAAACACAACCCAUUCAAACGGAACGGAGACCUGAAAGACUUUCAUUCAAGCUCGUCUCAUUUUCACUUUAAGUAUGUAAAGAGGUUGGCACACACAGUUGAAGUCAGAAGUUUUUACAUGCACCUUAGCCAAAUAUAUUUAAACUUUAUUUGAAGUGUAUGUCAGAAUAAAUAGCUGAGUGAUUUAUUUCAGCUUUUAUUUCUUUCAUCAUAUUCCCAGUGGGUCAGAAGAUUACAU